rnacentral:rRNA from 1 species
UACGAGAGGUCCAAACGUUAUUCGGAAUUACUGGGCGUAAAGCGUAUGCAGGCGGAUCGUUAAGUCGGGGGUGAAAUCCCGAGGCUCAACCUCGGAACUGCCUUCGAUACUGGCGACCUUCGAGUCCGGGAGAGGUGAGUGGAACUCCGAGUGUAGAGGUGAAAUUCGUAGAUAUUCGCAAGAACACCAAUGGCGAAAGCAGCUUUCUGGGACGGUACUGACGCUGAGACGCGAAAGCGUGGGGAGCGAACAGG